rnacentral:lncRNA from 1 species
GGGGAGGCCAGGUCUGGGACAAAAACAUUCCCAUAGCCACAGAACACUUCUCUUUAUCACAAACAAACCAAGCUGUAUGAAUCACACAGACAAGGUCUUAUAGCCCAAGCUGUCUGCUCUAGGAUGUCGGCCAGGCAUUGAGGCUCAGUCCUAAGGGGCAGCAGCCAGAGCACCUUGUCCCCAGGUUGUGCUGAUGCCCCUGCAGGAUCAGGGGCACUCACUGGCUGCAGUGUUGGGUGGGGAUGCCCAGGGUUGCCCUCACGUGGCGCUUCUGAACCAAUGCUUGCAUAAGAGUUAGGUUCCCUCUUCUGUCCCUUUUAGCCCUGGGAUCCCCACUCAGCCCUGGGAUCCCCCUCAGCCCCGGGAUCCCCUCCUCAGCCCCGGGAUCCCCU